rnacentral:rRNA from 1 species
UACAGAGGUGGCAAGCGUUGUUCGGAAUUACUGGGCGUAAAGGGCGCGUAGGCGGUCUUGUAAGUUCCGUGUGAAAUCCCCCGGCUCAACUGAGGAACCGCACGGAAAACUGCUUGGCUUGAAUCCGGGAGAGGGAUGCGGAAUUCCAGGUGUAGCGGUGAAAUGCGUAGAUAUCUGGAGGAACACCGGUGGCGAAGGCGGCAUCCUGGACCGGCAUUGACGCUGAGGCGCGAAAGCCAGGGGAGCAAACGGG